GAGGGUGUGGCUUAGUGGUAGAGUACAUGCUUAGCAUGCAUGAGGUCAUGGGUUUGAUCCCCAGCACCACUG
rnacentral:tRNA from 1 species